rnacentral:lncRNA from 1 species
UUGUUUUGAAUUUCGAACGAUUGCUCUUCCCCCCACAACCUCUAUAAAUACCGAAAUUUCCUCAUUUGUACUUCUACGCUCUCAAACUUUCCGAAAUUCUCUGCCAUUGAUUUCUAGUGCCUCUCCUAUUCCGAGUCUUCGUCUUUAAAUCCCCAACCCAGAAAACCCUUUUACUCCGGGCUUCUUUCUCAUAAUGGCAUCCUUCAUCUCCAAGCUUUCCAGGGAAUGUGACCAACAUCAGAAGAUCCUUGAUCGGAGCUCGAUCAAGACCAUCCG